rnacentral:lncRNA from 1 species
CAUUAUACAGCAGCUGAAAAGGGAAGAAGAGAAAAAUUGGACAAAAGAAGAGAGAAAAAACAGAAAAGAAUAAUACACACCAAGGUCAAUGUAGACCAAGGUGAGCUAAUAAGGAAAAGUUUAAUUCCUUCUUUUUGAGAAGUAACAUGAAAGAGAGUUCUGACAGUAAUUCUGCUAAUUCAUCUUCAAAAGAAUCUAUUACCACAGAUUGAUGUGAGCACUCAAUCAUGGUCAAUGUAAACCAAGAUCUGCAAUUCAUCUGGAUAAAUUUAUUUCUUCAUUUGUGUUGUCAUGUGAAGGAAAGUAUUAGGAAUCAUUCAGUCUCUCAUCCUCAAGAGCCAGUGGUAUUUCUCACAAAGUAAGCAUUUUGCCUGAACAUACUUAUAUUCCUUGUAGAAACCACAAAGCU